UACGAAGGGGGCUAGCGUUGCUCGGAAUCACUGGGCGUAAAGGGUGCGUAGGCGGGUCUUUAAGUCCUGCGUGAAAUCCUGCGGCUCAACCGCAGACGGUCGUGGGAAACUGGAAGGCUAGAGUGCGGGAGAGGAGAGUGGAAUUCCCGGUGUAGCGGUGAAAUGCGCAGAUAUCGGGAAGAACACCCGUGGCGAAGGCGGCUCUCUGGAACGCAACUGACGCUGAGACGCGAAAGCGUGGGGAGCAAACAGG
rnacentral:rRNA from 1 species